rnacentral:tRNA from 1 species
UGGUGUGUAACUCAGUUGGUAGAGUAACCGGCUUUUAACCGGUAAGUCGUAGGGUUCGAAUCCCAUCACACCAA